GAUGAACGCUAGCGGCAGGCUUAACACAUGCAAGUCGAGGGGUAACAGGGUUUAGUUUACUAGAUUGCUGACGACCGGCGCACGGGUGAGUAACGCGUAUACAAUUUACCUUUUACAGGGGAAUAGCCCAGAGAAAUUUGGAUUAAUGCCCCAUAGUAUUAUAGAGUCACCUGGCUUUAUGAUUAAAGUUUCGGCGGUAAAAGAUGAGUAUGCGUCCUAUUAGCUAGAUGGUAAGGUAACGGCUUACCAUGGCGACGAUAGGUAGGGGUCCUGAGAGGGAGAUCCCCCACACUGGUACUGAGACACGGACCAGACUCCUACGGGAGGCAGCAGUGAGGAAUAUUGGGCAAUGGAGGCAACUCUGACCCAGCCAUGCCGCGUGCAGGAAGACUGCCCUAUGGGUUGUAAACUGCUUUUAUACAGGAAGAAACUUACCCACGUGUGGGUAACUGACGGUACUGUAAGAAUAAGCACCGGCUAACUCCG
rnacentral:rRNA from 1 species